CAAAGAUCUUUAUCAAAAACAGCUAUAAAAUAGCAGUUAGCUGCACAGUACAUAAUGCUUUCCUUAACAGUAAUAACUGUAAACAGAAUAAAAUUUGCUUAAAUUAGGAUUGACACUUAGCAUUUUCAGAGAGGAGAGUGAUUCUUGAUACUGAAGUAUUUUAUCCCAUGUUCGACUACAUCAGGUCUUUUGUAUUGACAAGACCUAUCAAAUACAAGAAAAAAAAGAAGUAUGCCUGGUAGGAAAAACAUCAGACCACAUGCCGGCAAAUGCUUAGCAAUGCUGAUUUCUAUC